rnacentral:rRNA from 1 species
GGGAAAAGCUCAAAUUUAAAAUCUGGUGGCCUUUGGCCAUCCGAGUUGUAAUUUAGAGAAGCGUCUUCCGCGCUGGACCGUGCACAAGUCUCCUGGAAUGGAGCGUCAUAGAGGGUGAGAAUCCCGUCUUU